GUUGACCUCGGAUCAGGUAGGAAUACCCGCUGAACUUAAGCAUAUCAAUAAGCGGAGGAAGAAUACCCGCUGAACUUAACCAUAUCAAUAAGCGGAGGAAUAAUUGGUGUUUUCGGGGGGACCGCCGGGCCUUGGGGCGGGAACCGGAGGCGCGGGAGGCCCAACCCUAUGGGCUUGACCGGUUUACUCCUGGGAGGGGACGAUAAACAAACAAAUAAACAAUUAUCCCAUGGGAUCUUCUGGUUUCUGGGAUUUAUCAAAAAUCCCUGGAAAUGGUCAUCAAUAGAGGGGAAAUGGAGAACCUCUUGUGUCAGCUAUCUUUAAUGCCAAUGGGCCCCUCAUAGAUCAGGGACACAGACGGGUCAGAGUCUGUGACACUCCCGGCCCCCUGGCGGGGUGUUGGGGGAUACAGGCCACCCUUUCUGGCGAGCUGCAUGUUCCAAUAUCUAUAUGCCUCCUCAGGUAAUGCUCACUUGUGAAAAAUCAACAGAUC
rnacentral:rRNA from 1 species